UACGUAGGGUGCGAGCGUUAAUCGGAAUUACUGGGCGUAAAGCGUGCGCAGGCGGCUUUGCAAGACAGAUGUGAAAUCCCCGGGCUUAACCUGGGAACUGCAUUUGUGACUGCAUGGCUGGAGUGCGGCAGAGGGGGAUGGAAUUCCGCGUGUAGCAGUGAAAUGCGUAGAUAUCUGGAGGAAUACCGGUGGCGAAGGCGGCAUCCUGGGCCGACAUUGACGCUGAGGAGCGAAAGCUAGGGGAGCAAACGGG
rnacentral:rRNA from 1 species